rnacentral:hammerhead_ribozyme from 1 species
AUUCAGCUAAAGAGUCUCAAAUAGAACGAAACGCGUGUCCUGGAU